UGCGAGAUGGCCAUGCAUGGUGCCCGCGCCCGUGCCCAAGCACGGCGGGCCGAAAUGGGAAUCUGGGAUCGGCGACCCAAUUAGGGGCCGACAACCAGAGCCGCCCCCGCGACUGUACGCGGCGAGCGAGCGCUGAAUGCCACUGGGGCCAAAGAGCCCUGGGAAGGCGGCGCAAGCAUCGACCCGCAAGCCAGGAGACCUGCCGUGCUUAAUGCAACCCA
rnacentral:ncRNA from 1 species